GAUGAAGAACGUAGCGAAAUGCGAUAAGUAAUGUGAGUUGCAGAAUUCAGUGAAUCAUCGAAUCUUUGAACGCACAUUGCGCCCGCCAGUAUUCUGGCGGGCAUGCCUGUUCGAGCGUCAUUUCAACCAUCAAGCCCCAGGCUUGUGUUGGAGCCCUGCGGCUGCCGCAGCCUCCCAAAACCAGUGGCGGGCUCGCUAUCACACCGAGUGCAGUAGUUUACUCUUCGCUCAGGGCGUGUGGCGGGUGCUAGCCGUAAAACCCCCAACUUCUCAAGGUUGACCUCGGAUCAGGUAGGAAUACCCGCUGAACUUAAGCAUAUCAAUAAGCGGAGGA
rnacentral:misc_RNA from 1 species